GGAGCGUUGCCAGAGUGGUAAUGGAGCGGAUUGCUAAUCCGUCAUGGGGUUAAACUCAUGCAUAGGUUCGAGUCCUAUACGCUCCGCCA
rnacentral:tRNA from 2 species